rnacentral:rRNA from 1 species
AAGCGGAGGAAAAGAAACUAACAAGGAUUCCCCUAGUAACGGCGAGUGAAGCGGGAAGAGCUCAAAUUUGUAAUCUGGCACUUUCAGUGUCCGAGUUGUAAUCUCGAGAAGUGUUUUCCGCGCCGGACCGCAUACAAGUCUGUUGGAAUACAGCGUCAUAGUGGUGAGAACCCCGUAACUGAUGCGGAUGCCCGGUGCUUUGUGAUACACUUUCGAAGAGUCGAGUUGUUUGGGAAUGCAGCUCAAAUUGGGUGGUAAAUUCCAUCUAAAGCUAAAUAUUGGCGAGAGACCGAUAGCGAACAAGUACCGUGAGGGAAAGAUGAAAAGCACUUUGGAAAGAGAGUUAACAGUACGUGAAAUUGUUGGAAGGGAAACGCUUGAAGUCAGACUUGCUAUUUGGAAUUCAGCCGCAAGGUGUACUUUUCAAUUCGCAGGCCAGCAUCAGUUUUCGGGGGUGGAAAAGGGUAGAGAGAAGGUAGCAAUUUCGGUUGUGUUAUAGCUCCUUGCUGGAUUCAUCCUUGGGGACUGAGGAACGCAGCACGCUUUUUGCAAGGCUUUCGAGCUUUUCGUGCUUAGGAUGCUGGUGGAAUGGCUUUAAACGACCCGUCUUGA